AUCUACGGCCAUAUCACGUUGAAAUCAUCGGUUCUCGUCCGAUCACCGAAGUUAAGCAACGUCGAGCCCGGUUAGUACUUGGAUGGGUGACCGCUUGGGAUUACCGGGUGCUGUUGGCU
rfam:Helobdella robusta unplaced genomic scaffold HELROscaffold_93, whole genome shotgun sequence.